CAGCAGUGAGGAAGGCGGAGUCGUUAAUAGCGGCCUCGUUUGACGUUAGCUGCAGAAGAAGCACCCGGCUAACUCCGUGCCAGCAGCCGCGGUAAUACGGAGGGUGCGAGCGUUAAUCGGAAUUACUGGGCGUAAAGCGCAUGCAGGUGGUUUGGUUUAAGUCAGAUGUGAAAGACCCGGGGCGUCAACCUCCGGAAUAGCAUUUGUAAACUAGGCAGACUAGAGUACUGUAGAGGGGGGUAGGAAGUUUCAGGUGUAGCGGUGAAAUAGCGUAGAGAUCUGAAGGAAUACCAGUGGCGAAGGCGGCCCCCUCGGACAAAGACUGACGCUCAGAUGCGAAAGCGUGGGGAGCAAACAGGAUUAGAUACCCUGGUAG
rnacentral:rRNA from 1 species